UCCGAGUUGUCCCCGGCAGUCUCUUUAGAGUCCCCACCAUUACGUGCUGGCAACUAAAGACAGGGGUUGCGCUCGUUGCGGCACUUAAGCCAACACCUCACGGCACGAGCUGACGACAGCCAUGCAGCACCUGUGCUAGCCCCUUACGGACACGGGCUUUCACCCGCUUUAACUAGCAUGUCAAGCCCAGGUAAGGUGGGGAUGACGUACCAAGGUUGGUU
rnacentral:misc_RNA from 1 species